GAUAAAAUACGACUACAAGUGCUUUAAAUGGCUUAAAAAACGACCCAUCUUCUGAUGAGUACAUUAGCGAAGUAAUUUUCAAAAUAAACCUUGUCUAAACCGAGAAAAUCAAAGCUAAAGUUUAUGUAAAUUAACAUGAUUUUUUAUCACAUAUAAAGAUACGACACGCUUAUGAUUUUUCUUUGUGUCUUCCUCCUGAAUUAUUAAUGAGUUUUUUAAAGCUAUUUAAAAUUGUAACUAGAGAUCCAG